rnacentral:tRNA from 1 species
GAGGGUACAGCUCAGUGGUAGAGUGCAUGCUUAGCAUGCAUGAGGUCCUGGGUUCAAUCCCUGGUACCUCCA